UCCGAGUUGACCCCGGCAGUCUCUUAUGAGUCCCCGGCAUGACCCGCUGGCAACAUAAGACGAGGGUUGCGCUCGUUGCGGGACUUAACCCAACAUCUCACGACACGAGCUGACGACAACCAUGCACCACCUGCGCAGGAUCCUUACGGACCCCAUAUCUCUAUGAGAUUUCCCUGCAUGUCAAGCCUUGGUAAGGUUCUUCGCGUUGCAUCGAAUUAAUCCGCAUGCUCCGCCGCUUGUGCGGGGCCCCGUCAAUUCCUUUGAGUUUUAGCCUUGCGGCCGUACUCCCCAGGCGGGGCGCUUAAUGCGUUUGCUGCGGCACGGACGGGGUUGAUAUCCGCCCACACCUAGCACCGAACGUUUACGGCUAGGACUAC
rnacentral:misc_RNA from 1 species